AAGAAAAAGCUGCAGAAUUACCUUAUAUCGUUAGUCAGCUGGUUUUACCGACCCUCAUCGAAUAUCAAAAUCCCGGAGGCAGGGCGGCUGAUGCGGCGGGAAGAACAAAGUGAGCGACUGUGAGAAAUCGUCAUGGAAAUAGGGGGUAAAAUUCAGAGCUGGGCGCCAAAUCUUCCAAAGAUGGGAAGUGGAAGCAACACAUUUACGGUCGAUGACGCACUCAUCUCACAAGGGUUUGGGUACUUCCAGGUCCUUGUGCUUGCUUAUGCUGGCAUGGGUUGGAUUUCGGAGGCGACAGAAAUGAUGCUUCUUUCAUUUGUAGGACCUUCUGUACAAGUUCAGUGGAAUCUUUCUUCACAUGAGGAGAGCUUGAUUACUAGUGUUGUGUUUGUGGGCAUGCUAAUUGGAGCAUACUCGUGGGGCGUAGUUUCUGAUAACUAUGGGCGGAGGGUUGGGUUUCUAUUUACAGCCAUAGUUACUAGUGGAGCAGGUCUUCUUAGUGCUUUUGCUCCAAAUUAUAUUUCCUUGCUUCUCCUUCGAUUUGUGGUUGGCAUCGGUUUGGGAGGUGGACCCGUCCUUGCUUCGUGGUUUUUAGAGUUUGUUCCAGCUCCAAAUAGAGGUACGUGGAUGGUGAUUUUCCAAGGCUUCUGGACUAUUGGUACCAUCUUGGAGGCUUCUCUUGCUUGGGCUGUUAUGCCAAAAUUGGGUUGGAGGUGGCUGUUAGUAUUUUCUUCAAUACCAUCUUUUCUUCUGCUAUUAUUCUACCGCAUCGUCCCCGAGUCUCCAAGGUAUCUUUGCAUGAAAGGUCGAACAUCUGAAGCAAUGCAUAUUUUGGAGAAGAUGGCAAGAACAAAUCGAGCGACACUUCCGCCUGGUGUUCUUGUUUCUGAUAUAAGGACUGAGCUUGAUGAAAAUCCCCAUCCUUCUGAAUCCACAAAUUUGAUAAAUGUUCAGGAUAAAAAAACUAAAGUUGUUGAUGAAGUAGAACCUAAAACAGGUGGCAUCUCCGCCUUCUCCAAACUUCUAUCACCAGAAUUGAUCAGAUCUACACUUCUGCUUUGGAUCACUUUCUUUGGCAAUGCAUUUUCAUAUUAUGGAAUUGUCUUGCUAACCUCUGAGUUGAGCGGUGGAAGUAGUAAUUGUGCGUCAGAAUCUAUAAUAAGCCAUUCAGUUGGGAGCAGCCUCUACAAAAAUGUCUUCAUCAGUAGUUUUGCCGAGGUUCCUGGACUUCUUUUGUCAGCUACUAUUGUGGAUAGGCUCGGUCGCAAACUUUCAAUGUCAGCUAUGCUUUUUAUAAGUUGUGCUUUCUUGUUGCCUCUUGUAGUUGAACAGAAUGAAGCAAUCACUACAAUACUUUUAUUUGGUGCUCGGGUCUGUAUUUCUGGAAGCUUCAACAUUGUCUAUGUAUAUGCACCAGAGAUAUAUCCUACCUCUCUUAGGACCACUGGAGUUGGAACUGCAAGCUCUGUGGGAAGAAUAGGAGGGAUGUUGUGUCCUCUAGUGGCUGUUGCUUUGGUGCAUGGCUGCCAUCAGACGAUAGCACUUCUGUUGUUUGAACUUGUACUUUUCCUUUCUGGAAUGGCUGUUAUAUUUUUUCCACUGGAAACUAGCGGCAAGGGAUUGGCAGAUUCUGUGAGGAGUAUGAAGUGAAGAAGGCAACUUUUUGGAGCACUUUUUCCUUGUUUCUGUUAGAAUUAUAUGACAAGCUUAGCGAAGAAAUCUCAACAGAAAGAAAGGAUCUGAUUAUACCAUUUCAAGAUGUAAUGAUGGAGGUUGCCUGACUUAUCUUCUCAAUUUAUGAGGAAUAAAACUUACCUUCUGCCCUAGCUUGAUGCUUUGGUGGGCUUGGCGAAAGAGUGUUUGCUGGUGGCCUAAAUCCUCUGGACUUGUAUUACAAUAGCUAGUACUUUUUUUAACAUGAUUUGUUGAAUUUAUCAGACUAAAAAGUCUCCUUAAUUAAACUUCUAAAUUUUGACAAAUUUGAAAUGUGUCUUCAACCUUUGCAAUGACCGCAUAUUUACUUGAAGAUAUUAGCUUCUGCCAUGCAUUCAUAUAGUGAUAGUAUCAUGUGUGAUUUUAAGUAUUUAUUUGGGGAUCAAUGUUAACCUAAAUAAAUAUUUAAAAUGUCCAAUGUCUUAAAGAAAAAUUUUAACUGUCAUUAGAUUUUUUUUUUAAAUGCCCCCUGUCAUGUAGGAGAAUUUCUAAGACAUCUUAGAAAUAUAUUCUUUCUUUGUAAAGGGAAUGAUCUUCGACUUGUUUUUCUAAGAAUGUAUUUUUUCAUAUAACUAUCAUUGAUCUGGGGUAUAGGUCGCCGACCUUCCAAAUUAGUGAGUUGAUAGGCUCCUCUCUUAUAUACCUUCUUGAUGAUAAAAGAGCCUUCCCAAUUUGAUCUCUCCCUUUGAAAAUCCUUUAGAACUUGUCUUUAUGAGAAGCCUCUCACAGUACUCACAAAGAUUUUCUUAGGAAUUUUUCUUAUGUCCAAAAUUCAUAAUCUCUUUGUAGCAGUCGCAGGUAUACUCUUUUCAUUCCUCUCAAAACAUUGAUCAUGGUUUUUUUUUUCACAUCCACUAUGGAAUAUCUAUGAAGCUCAUCUUGGUCUGUUGGUUGUGAGCUUUGAUUACUAAUCAAGAGAUCUUGGUUUCGAGUCUUGAGUAUGUGAGGUAUGUGUUAGUUUGCCUUAAUUGGACUAAAUGCCCAAAAAAAAAA